GUUUGAUCAUGGCUCAGGAUGAACGCUGGCGGCGUGCUUAACACAUGCAAGUCGAACGGGAAACCUUUUAUUGAAGCUUCGGCGGAUUUAGAUUGUUUCUAGUGGCGGACGGGUGAGUAACGCGUGGGUAACCUGCCUUGUACAGGGGGAUAACAGUCAGAAAUGGCUGCUAAUACCGCAUAAGCGCACAGAGCUGCAUGGCUCCGUGUGAAAAACUACGGUGGUAUAAGAUGGACCCGCGUUGGAUUAGCUUGUUGGCAGGGUAACGGCCUACCAAGGCGACGAUCCAUAGCCGGCCUGAGAGGGUGAACGGCCACAUUGGGACUGAGACACGGCCCAGACUCCUACGGGAGGCAGCAGUGGGGAAUAUUGCACAAUGGGGGAAACCCUGAUGCAGCGACGCCGCGUGAAGGAAGAAGUAUCUCGGUAUGUAAACUUCUAUCAGCAGGGAAGAAAAUGACGGUACCUGACUAAGAAGCCCCGGCUAACUACGUGCCAGCAGCCGCGGUAAUACGUAGGGGGCAAGCGUUAUCCGGAUUUACUGGGUGUAAAGGGAGCGUAGACGGAUGGACAAGUCUGAUGUGAAAGGCUGGGGCUCAACCCCGGGACUGCAUUGGAAACUGCCCGUCUGAGUGCCG
rnacentral:rRNA from 1 species